GUGAGAGACGACAAGAGGAGACUCAUACAAAAACUAGUUCCUCUAUUUACACCAUUGGAAACAUUCAGUUCAGUUUCAGUACCCGGAGAAAACCCACGCAGGCACAGGGAGAACAUGCAAACUCCACAUAGAAGAACCCAGACUGGGAUUCGAACCUGGAACCCUCUUGCUAUGAGGGGACAUGUGUGCACAUCUGUGAUAAGUAUGCAUCUGAUACUAAAAUUUACAAAAAUUUACAUUUCUGCUCUGAGUAAGAGCACAAAAAAUUAAUUUGUAACUGUUUAUGAUAUUUGUUUAAUGUUUUGUUCAGGACUCAUCACUUCUCUUGAAGUUUCAAAGCAUCUUGUUUUUCUUAGAAAUCUUUAAAAAGAUAUUUAAAAUAUUUUCCAUUAAAAAUGCUAUUUUUUGUUGUUGUUUUAUAAACAAUGAUGCCGCUGUUUUAUCCAUUAGACUUUUUAUUUGCUACUCAUGACAGAUUAUGACGAAUGAAGAUUAAAUAACAAUAAUGAAACAAUAAACACAAGCAAAAAAUAAUUAUGAUGCAAAAUCCCCUUUUACUUAUACACUUAAAUACUUUCUCUUUAUCAGAAUUGAAGUUUUGUUUUAUUUUUACCAGCUGCUGACAGCACAGGUCCCCUGAGUGCUCAGUGCAGGAAACAGUGUUGGGUUUUUGUAUUAGGGUUCAUCAUGGUGAUGGUUGGUAUCUGGGUAUACUUGGCCACUGAGAUACAGACCCAUACAAAAACCUUAGAUUAAAAAUUUUACAAUCUCCAAUCAUGUGAUGUUAAAUAAAAGAACAGGAUGAAAUAUCUCUCCCCAGAAGAUGAGGUUUUUGUUCAAGCAGUGAGUGGAGAUGCAACACUGUGAUACUACUACAGCUACUUCGACUACUGGGGUAAAGGGACUGAAGUCACCGUAUCUUCAGCACCACCUGCACCACCAACUGUGUUCCCUCUGAUUCUGUGCUCCCCUGGAACCGGAGAUAAAGUCACUGUUGGUUGUCUCGCACAAGAUUUCUUCCCAAAGCAACUCACCUUCAGUUGGACUAAUGAGAUUGGGAC